CUGCUAAUACCGCAUAAGCCCACGGGUCGGCAUCGACCAGAGGGAAAAGGAGCAAUCCGCUUUGAGAUGGCCUCACGUCCGAUUAGCUAGUUGGUGAGGUAAUGGCCCACCAAGGCAACGAUCGGUAGCCGGACUGAGAGGUUGAACGGCCACAUUGGGACUGAGACACGGCCCAGACUCCUACGGGGAGGCAGCAUG
rnacentral:rRNA from 1 species